rnacentral:rRNA from 1 species
UACGUAGGGGGCUAGCGUUGCUCGGAAUCACUGGGCGUAAAGGGUGCGUAGGCGGAUUGUUAAGUCAGGGGUGAAAUCCUGGAGCUCAACUCCAGAACUGCCUUUGAUACUGGGGAUCUCGAGUCCGGAAGAGGUGAGUGGAACUCCGAGUGUAGAGGUGAAAUUCGUAGAUAUUCGGAAGAACACCAGUGGCGAAGGCGGCUCACUGGUCCGGUACUGACGCUGAGGUGCGAAAGCGUGGGGAGCAAACAGG